GGGUUCGAUGAGGGAAGUCAGACGCCCAGGGUUCAAAGAGAUGAGACUUCGGGGUCUGGCCAGAACGUCGGCCUCCCAGUCACCAGUCAUCCACCUUAUCUCUAGCAAAUGAGUCAGGAGAAGCUUCCAGCCCACAUUGGACCCCCUGGACUUGGAACUAGCUUUGGCUGGUGGAUGAAACAGGAGGGAGAUACAGGAAGCUGGACAUCAUCAGUCCAUGGGGACAAAGGUACAUGGAUCCAAGAUCAUGAGUAUUAUCUUCAGUGCAGUCAUUUCAAUGGAUUAACAGCCCCGGCAGAGGGCCAUGGGAGGAACGCAUGGCAUCAGAGACAGGAGAGAGAGAGAUGCAAGGUGGCGGCCUCUGGCUUGUGCCUUGCAGCAAUUGGCUUUGAGCAGAUGGGAAGACAGAUUCUCCCUCUUCCUUGUGUAACCA